rnacentral:rRNA from 1 species
GCAUCGAUGAAGAACGCAGCGAAAUGCGAUACUUGGUGUGAAUUACAGAAUCCUAUGAACCAUCGAGUCUUUGAACGCAAGUUGUGCCUAAAGCCAUUAGGUUGAGGGCACGUCUGCCUGGGUGUCACAC